rnacentral:rRNA from 1 species
GAUCCUGGCUCAGGAUGAACGCUAGCUACAGGCUUAACACAUGCAAGUCGAGGGGAAACGACAUCGAAAGCUUGCUUUUGAUGGGCGUCGACCGGCGCACGGGUGAGUAACGCGUAUCCAACCUGCCCAUCACUUGGGAAUAACCUUGCGAAAGUAAGACUAAUGCCCAAUGACAUCCCACGAAGGCAUCCGAAUGGGAUUAAAGGUUUACCGGUGUAAGAUGGGGAUGCGUUCCAUUAGAUAGUAGGG